UUUGGGCUAGGGUAAGGUUUAAGUUUUUUGGCAUUAGGGUUAAAAUCACUGUCCAAAACCUUUGUAGGAACACUUUUCCAACCUUUUGGAAUUAGAUAGACCAAAAAAAUAUGAAAAAUGAAAAAAUAUAUAUUUGGGGUUUUCGGGCUUCCUGAAUGUAAUACCUGGGUAUUAGAUUUUAAGGCGAGGGUAAGGUUUAUGUUUUUUGGCGUUAGGGUUAAAAUCACUGUCCAAAACCUUUGUAGGAACUCUUUUCCAACCUUUUGGAGUUAGUUAAACCAA